rnacentral:rRNA from 1 species
GCGGGGGGGGCGUGCUAUACAUGCAGUCGAGCGGACGGAUGGGAGCUUGCUCCCUGAAGUCAGCGGCGGACGGGUGAGUAACACGUGGGCAACCUGCCUGUAAGACUGGGAUAACUCCGGGAAACCGGGGCUAAUACCGGAUAACUCUUUUCCUCACAUGAGGAAAAGCUGAAAGAUGGUUUCGGCUAUCACUUACAGAUGGGCCCGCGGCGCAUUAGCUAGUUGGUGAGGUAACGGCUCACCAAGGCCACGAUGCGUAGCCGACCUGAGAGGGUGAUCGGCCACACUGGGACUGAGACACGGCCCAGACUCCUACGGGAGGCAGCAGUAGGGAAUCUUCCGCAAUGGACGAAAGUCUGACGGAGCAACGCCGCGUGAGUGAUGAAGGUUUUCGGAUCGUAAAACUCUGUUGUCAGGGAAGAACAAGUACCGGAGUAACUGCCGGUACCUUGACGGUACCUGACCAGAAAGCCACGGCUAACUACGUGCCAGCAGCCGCGGUAAU